rnacentral:rRNA from 1 species
UACAGAGGUCUCAAGCGUUGUUCGGAUUCAUUGGGCGUAAAGAGCGUGUAGGCGGCUAGGUAGGUCCGCUGUGAAAACUUGAGGCUCAACCUCAAGAGGUCGGUGGAAACCAUCUGGCUAGAGUCCGGAAGAGGAGAGUGGAAUUCCCGGUGUAGCGGUGAAAUGCGCAGAUAUCGGGAAGAACACCCGUGGCGAAGGCGGCUCUCUGGGACGGUACUGACGCUGAGACGCGAAAGCGUGGGGAGCGAACAGG